UGCCUAGGAAUCUGCCUGGUAGUGGGGACGAACGUUUACGUAAGGAACGCUAUAACCGCCAUACGUCCUACGGAGGAAAGUAGGGGAGUCUUCGGACCUCACGCUAUCAGAUGAGCCUAGGUCGGAUUAGCUAGUUGGUGAGGUAAAGGCUCACCAAGGCGACGAUCCGUAACUGGUCUGAGAGGAUGAUCAGUCACACUGGAACUGAGACACGGUCCAGACUCCUACGGGAGGCAGCAGUGGGGAAUAUUGGACAAUGGGCGAAAGCCUGAUCCAGCCAUGCCGCGUGUGUGAAAAAAG
rnacentral:rRNA from 1 species